UUCCAUUUUUUCCCAGCAACCCCCGUGGGGCCGAAGUUCAAUGGGGUCGUAUCUCAAAGCCCUAAGCCCAUAUUCAUUUACUUCUGUUUUGUGGACUGCAGCCGGACGAUCCGAACGCCGCCCGGUCCAUUUUUGGCGUAAAAAAAAGAGAUUAAAUCCAAAACGAAAGAGAUCCCGUUUCAAAGCCUUUGACAGAAGCAUGAGCAGUCGCAGGCAGCCCCCCAAGUACGAGCAAAGAAAUGUUGAACUUUUUCAGGAGGCGCAACCCGAAUUUCCGUCUCAAACGUUAGAACCCGCGCCGUCGAUUGGCCAUACGCAUCCCCAAAGGUUUCCAACUCUUCAUUGAUGACGCCACUGAAAGGUCGGAGCUGGUUGAUUGUAUAUCUGGUAUGCCAUCUUCGGCUGAAAUAAUCCGAGCCAUGAUGAGAUUCGGACGCCUUUCAUUUGUUACAACUUCAUUUUUAGGAAAUGCUUUUAGUGAGUUUUAUUUUGUAGGUUUGUUCUGUUGUUGAUUCCGCGAAACUCUGCAGACAAACCCAUCCGGCCAGGUCAUUUAUUUAUAAUCUUGAAUGAUAUAAUAAGAUAUUUUCCCAUGACAGUUUAUGGUGAAUAAUUUCUUUUGAGGAAACCUACAUUGAACAAGAAACUUUUUGAGUAGAAUAGUUGGGUCAAAGUACCAUAGUUUGCUUCAGUUUUACAUUCCAUGUGCAUUGAGGAUUUAUGUGCUAUUGGGCAAUGACAAACAGCUUUGCCAUGUUUUGUUAUUGUCAUUACAGUUUCUCAAUACAACUCAUACUCUUUAUUAUGUGGUGAAAAAGGCAGAGCAAGAUGGUCAUUUGCUUACUGAGGAAGCUCGUGGAGCUGCCUACUACUUACAUAUUGACUUUUAGAAGGGUCGCAUCCAUCUCCCUUCUGGUGUAUAUCCUUUUGAUACUGACAAUCAGAUUUGCUGCAGCAUAAUUUUCCUCCUUUAGAAGCAUCAUGCAUCCGAGACAAAUACUACAUCUCCUCAAGCCUAUUUAUUGUCCGACAUCCAGUGUGUCAAAGGAGUCAUUAGGCUGACUAGAUGACGAACAAGAAAAGGGUUUCAGGAUUAUAACAGAGCCACGUACUCUAUCCACUGUUUUACAAUGGAUUGCUGAUGAUCAGGUAGCUUUCAUCGUCUGGAAUGAAGAAAUCAAUAACUCUUUUCUGCAUUUUUAUUAAAGUUGAGACUUGCAAGGUUAGGAAAAUGGCAUAUUUGAAAGGGAACUCCAUUCCGCAUGCAAACCACAAAGUUCUUGAUAAACUUAGAUCUUCCAGACCUGAGUUUGCUAAGAUUAUUACAGCUACUUGCAUGCCAAGUGUGCUGCAACCAUAUGGAAGAAGCUAUGCAAAGAGGAUCCUCUGUCACUGACAACCAGAACCGCUCUCAGAGCAAAACUUUUAGAGCACGGAGGAGCCAAAGAACCGGCUGAUCUGUUGACUGAUCUAGUGAGGCAUGGGAUAAUAAGGGUAUCAUAAUGGAGGGAUGGUUCCUGACAUCACAAGUUAUUUUGGAAGAAGUGAAGCUUUCUGGAAAAUAGGAAAACCGGCCUAUUUUGUAACUGACUGGAGACAAAGUAUCAAAUGAAAUGUAGGAGGAAAAGAAUAAAACUAACAAACCAGCGGUAAAAGCACGUGAUAUUGUCAAAAUAAGUCACUUUUGAUCUUGGGUGAAAGAUACCAGAUAUUGGGUAGUCACUGAAAUGGCAAUGUCAUGGACUGGCAGGCACUGGCACUACUUUGCGACAUCCCAAAUUCCAAAUUAAAGAAUUUUCAGGUUCUGCAAUAAUGAAUCACCUUCAAAGAUUAUGUAUAACGGUCAAUUUGGAACUGAAUAUUGUUAACUUGUAAGCCUAUCUAGAUAUUCAAUUUUAAUUUGGCAUUUGUAAGAUGAACCAGAGAAUGGCCGAGGCAGAAAGCGAGCAAAUGCAGGAGGACCGUGGGGAUGAGUGAGGAGAGAAGUGAAAUUGCGGGAAAGGGACAGAGAGGAGAGCCAAGGCCAUAAGGGGAAGUGAUGAGAGAGUGAGAGGGAGCGAUGCUUUCCAUUAAAGUAAGCAGAGAUGUUGGAAGUAAAAGAGGAGAGAGAGAGAGAGAGAGAGAGAGAGAGAGAGAGAGAGGGAGAGUGGUGGGUACUUAGGACGAAGAGAGAGGUAGUGGUAGGGUUAGCCUUGGACUGGGUUGGUUAGAAAACAGAAUGUGAAAUCGUUGCGGCGGAGAAAAAGUUUGGGAGAAUCAUAAAUCAGCACUUGAUGAAUUUUCUAAAAUAGAAAAUAAAAUAGUAGUUUGUCUUUGUCCGGCAGUUUUCAAUUUGCAGGAAAAAAAAAAGGAAGGGGGGGUGCAAAAGCUAAAUACUAGAAUUUGAGGGGAGGGAAAAGAGAUAUACCCAAAAAUCCAGAGAUAAAACAUGAAGCGCACGCUGCAGAACAUCAGUUUAACCAACUAAACUGAAAAUGGCGCUACAAACUCACACUCCAUCAUCUUUCACCAACGGACUCUAUCACAGCCACUCAGUCUUCCCAAAACCCAAAAUUUCUAUCAAAUUCCAGAAGCCCACCGUCGACGCCGAGCCCAAUCCUGAGCCCACCUCCUCAACCAAGAAGCCUACCGCACCCGGCCAGGGGUUUGGCUCCUCGUCUUCUUCGUCCUUACCCUCCGGCAAGUCAAGCACAAGCAGCAGCAAGAAGAAGCAGAAGGGAAAAAGAGAGAGGGCGUCCAUAAUAAGGCGGUCGCCGGUCGAGAAACCUUCGUUUGUGAGCAAAGAAGAAGGGGCUAAAGCUGAGGAACAGAGAAAAAAUGAGAGUGCUUUUCUACUGGCAUGGUUUGGGCUUGGUGGGAUCAUUCUUGUGGAAGGCAUUGUUCUUGCUGCUUCAGGCUUCCUACCAGAAGAGUGGGAUAAUUUCUUUGUGAAGUACUUGUACCCAUCUUUCACCCCAACUGUUGUCUUGUUUCUUGCUGGAACUGUUGCAUAUGGAGUGUUGAAGUACCUGCAAAAUGAGAAGCUUAAAGACCAAGAGUAAAUAGUUCAUUCCAAUAAUCUGAUAUUUCCAAAUUAUAAGAUUAGACUGUUGUAGCGAAAGCCAAGUGAGCAUUUGUACAUUUCUGCAGGCUGUACUUUCAGUUUUAGUGCUUUCUUUGUGGAGAGUGUUGUAUUAACAGAGAACACAAAAAGGAAUUUUCCUGCUAGGAAUGUUAACCAUCCUUAUUUAUGAUCUGCUGAGGCAGCUUUAUGUAUCUUAAUUGGGCAUUGAAGCAGCUACACAAAAUUGUGUAUCUCAAUAUAUGCAACUGUUUUAUUACGGUUAUCUGUCUGAAUUCUUUGAAAGCAUGGCAUUGUUACUUGUUUCCUUUUUUACCUGAAAAAACAAUUGCACAAUUUACAAGGAAUUUCCUUACGUUGACAUUACAAUUUGACAAAUAGGAUUAAUAACUGCUUGCUCUUGUUUGGACCAAUAAUACUCUAUUUGACUCUUCAAAUCCUGAAAAACACUUUUUUGGGUGUUCCACUCAAUGGAAUUGAGAUUUCUUAUACAUGUACUUGCUGGCAAUGAUACAUGGAAGCUUGGUGCUAUGUUCUGUUUGUUAGACUUACAGUCAUAACUUUCUGAUGGUUCCAUAGUUCUUCAUUCGUCCUUUUCGUUGAAAGAGCAAUCAUCUUCAAGGGUAUACUUAAGUGCCAAUGCAGUUGAUGAAUGUGAGAUUCUGGCCUGGAAAAACAAAAGGCGUGAGAAUGUCCACCUCAUAUAGAUAAUAAAGCUACUGUAUUCUCAGCAUUGCAAUUUAUCAGAUAGUAUGGUAUAUGGUAAGUUAGAUUUGUUAUUUUUCUUCAAGGCAACCCACGAGUUUUGUGUUCUUGUGGUUAUGCUGGAUCCACUGUCUUAGGAAAAAGAGUGUUUAAUCCACACUGAGAUUGGAUGAACUCGGCGUGCGUCAUUCAUCGAUAUCUUCAAAAACCAAGCAGCCUAGUCAUCCAUUGUCUAGAACUAUGCCCGCUUUUUUAAUGUUUGGAAACUGUGUGAUUAUUCACCUGAGGCAAAGCACUAAACUUCAUGAUGCUUGAUAUUUCUCUCAUGCUUUAUGGAAUUUAUGUAACAUCAUUGUCAUUAACAUCAAUAAGGAACAAUAAGGGCUGCUGUUUAUAUCGAUGUAUAAUCUAUUUGAGGCAGUCUUUUUUGGUUGAUAAGGUCAUGUUGCUCCACUGAUGUUAAAUGAAGCGUGUAUUUCCCUGAUUGGUUAAUUCUUAUCUUUCGUUGCUUUACAUAUAAUUUGUGUUUUGUUUUGUUUUGCAUGAUUUACUUUGCAAUGAGAAAUGAUCUCUGCUUCUUGUCUGUGGUAGUACAUCAGUCAAUGAAAACUUUGAAUAAGUGGAUUCUUUUGCAGCCACUGCCAUCUUUCUUUAACAAGGUCACCUUGGAUUGAUCACAUAAAGCUCACGCCUUUUGCAGGUAGAGGCCUCAAUCUCCUGAUGAUACCCUGGUGCAUUACUCAGGAGUCAGCAAAUGGAUCAACCAAAACAAAGGGGAAACGUUUGGUCAGAUGGGCAUUAAAAGAUGGAUCCAUGGAUGGAUGGCUCUACAACAAGCAACAGAGGAGCACAAUAAAAACUCAAUGUCUCCACCCUCCAUUAAUUGUUGUAAGACGGUUUGGAGAUUGGCAUUUAAGGUCUUAAAUGGACACUGGAGGCUUUGAAGCAAGAUUGCUUAUUGGAUUGAGAAUGUAAAUGGAUAUGAUUACUUACGUUUUAGAAUCAUUAUGCACCCGUAACAAAUUU